rnacentral:rRNA from 1 species
AGAUUGAACGCUGGCGGCGUGCUUAACACAUGCAAGUCGAGCGGUAACGCGGGAGCAAUCCUGGCGACGAGCGGCGAACGGGUGAGUAAUGCUUGGGAAUCUGCCCAUUAGUGGGGAACAACCAGCCGAAAGGUUGGCUAAUACCGCAUACGCCCUACGGGGGAAAGCGGGGGAUCGAAAGACCUCGCGCUAAUGGAUGAGCCCAAGUCGGAUUAGCUUGUUGGUAGGGUAACGGCCUACCAAGGCGACAAUCCGUAGCUGGUCUGAGAGGACGACCAGCCACACUGGGACUGAGACACGGCCCAGACUCCUACGGGAGGCAGCAGUGGGGGAAUAUUGGACAAUGGGGGCAACCCUGAUCCAGCGACGCCGCGUGUGUGAAGAAGGCCUGCGGGUUGUAAAGCACUUUUAGUGGGGAUUGAAAAGCUCAGGGUUAACACCUCUGGGUCUUGACCUAACCACAGAAAAAGCACCGGCUAACUCUGUGCCAGCAGCCGCGGU